ACACGACUACAUUAGAUACCCCCGUAGUCCCAGCUGUAAACUAUGUGCGUUAGGUGUGUCAGUGACCACGUGUCACUGAGGUGCCGAAGGGAAACCGUGAAACGCACCGCCUGGGGAGUACGGUCGCAAGGAUGAAACUUAAAGGAAUUGGCGGGGGAGCACCGCAACGGGAGGAGCGUGCGGUUCAAUUGGAUUCAACGCCGGACAACUCACCAGGAGCGACGGUUACAUGAAGGCCAGGCUGAUGACCUUGCCUGAUUUUCCG
rnacentral:rRNA from 1 species